rnacentral:rRNA from 1 species
GGUUAAGCGACUAAGCGUACACGGUGGAUGCCCUGGCAGUCAGAGGCGAUGAAGGGCGUGCUAAUCUGCGAUAAGCGCCGGUAAGGUGAUAUGAACCGUUAUAACCGGCGAUACCCGAAUGGGGAAACCCAGUGUGACUCGUCACACUAUCAUUAACUGAAUCCAUAGGUUAAUGAGGCGAACCGGGGGAACUGAAACAUCUAAGUACCCCGAGGAAAAGAAAUCAACCGAGAUUCCCCCAGUAGCGGCGAGCGAACGGGGAGGAGCCCAGAGCCUGAAUCAGCAUGUGUGUUAGUGGAAGCGUCUGGAAAGGCGCGCGAUACAGGGUGACAGCCCCGUACACAAAAGCGCAUGUGCUGUGAGCUCGAUGAGUAGGGCGGGACACGUGGUAUCCUGUCUGAAUAUGGGGGGACCAUCCUCCAAGGCUAAAUACUCCUGACUGACCGAUAGUGAACCAGUACCGUGAGGGAAAGGCGAAAAGAACCCCGGCGAGGGGAGUGAAAAAGAACCUGAAACCGUGUACGUACAAGCAGUGGGAGCACCCUUCGGGGUGUGACUGCGUACCUUUUGUAUAAUGGGUCAGCGACUUAUAUUCUGUAGCAAGGUUAACCGAAUAGGGGAGCCGGAGGGAAACCGAGUCUUAAUUGGGCGUUAAGUUGCAGGGUAUAGACCCGAAACCCGGUGAUCUAGCCAUGGGCAGGUUGAAGGUUGGGUAACACUAACUGGAGGACCGAACCGACUAAUGUUGAAAAAUUAGCGGAUGACCUGUGGCUGGGGGUGAAAGGCCAAUCAAACCGGGAGAUAGCUGGUUCUCCCCGAAAGCUAUUUAGGUAGCGCCUCGUGAAUUCAUCUCCGGGGGUAGAGCACUGUUUCGGCUAGGGGGCCAUCCCGGCUUACCAACCCGAUGCAAACUGCGAAUACCGGAGAAUGUUAUCACGGGAGACACACGGCGGGUGCUAACGUCCGUCGUGAAGAGGGAAACAACCCAGACCGCCAGCUAAGGUCCCAAAGUCAUGGUUAAGUGGGAAACGAUGUGGGAAGGCCCAGACAGCCAGGAUGUUGGCUUAGAAGCAGCCAUCAUUUAAAGAAAGCGUAAUAGCUCACUGGUCGAGUCGGCCUGCGCGGAAGAUGUAACGGGGCUAAACCAUGCACCGAAGCUGCGGCAGCGACACUAUGUGUUGUUGGGUAGGGGAGCGUUCUGUAAGCCUGCGAAGGUGGCCUGUGAGGGUUGCUGGAGGUAUCAGAAGUGCGAAUGCUGACAUAAGUAACGAUAAAGCGGGUGAAAAGCCCGCUCGCCGGAAGACCAAGGGUUCCUGUCCAACGUUAAUCGGGGCAGGGUGAGUCGACCCCUAAGGCGAGGCCGAAAGGCGUAGUCGAUGGGAAACGGGUUAAUAUUCCCGUACUUGGUGUUACUGCGAAGGGGGGACGGAGAAGGCUAUGUUGGCCGGGCGACGGUUGUCCCGGUUUAAGCGUGUAGGUGUGUGUUCCAGGUAAAUCCGGUUCACUUUAACACUGAGGCGUGACGACGAGGCACUACGGUGCUGAAGCAACAAAUGCCCUGCUUCCAGGAAAAGCCUCUAAGCAUCAGGUAACAUCAAAUCGUACCCCAAACCGACACAGGUGGUCAGGUAGAGAAUACCAAGGCGCUUGAGAGAACUCGGGUGAAGGAACUAGGCAAAAUGGUGCCGUAACUUCGGGAGAAGGCACGCUGACACGUAGGUGAAGUGAUUUACUCAUGGAGCUGAAGUCAGUCGAAGAUACCAGCUGGCUGCAACUGUUUAUUAAAAACACAGCACUGUGCAAACACGAAAGUGGACGUAUACGGUGUGACGCCUGCCCGGUGCCGGAAGGUUAAUUGAUGGGGUCAGCGCAAGCGAAGCUCCUGAUCGAAGCCCCGGUAAACGGCGGCCGUAACUAUAACGGUCCUAAGGUAGCGAAAUUCCUUGUCGGGUAAGUUCCGACCUGCACGAAUGGCGUAAUGAUGGCCAGGCUGUCUCCACCCGAGACUCAGUGAAAUUGAACUCGCUGUGAAGAUGCAGUGUACCCGCGGCAAGACGGAAAGACCCCGUGAACCUUUACUAUAGCUUGACACUGAACAUUGAGCCUUGAUGUGUAGGAUAGGUGGGAGGCUUUGAAGUGUGGACGCCAGUCUGCAUGGAGCCGACCUUGAAAUACCACCCUUUAAUGUUUGAUGUUCUAACGUGGACCCGUAAUCCGGGUUGCGGACAGUGUCUGGUGGGUAGUUUGACUGGGGCGGUCUCCUCCUAAAGAGUAACGGAGGAGCACGAAGGUUGGCUAAUCCUGGUCGGACAUCAGGAGGUUAGUGCAAUGGCAUAAGCCAGCUUGACUGCGAGCGUGACGGCGCGAGCAGGUGCGAAAGCAGGUCAUAGUGAUCCGGUGGUUCUGAAUGGAAGGGCCAUCGCUCAACGGAUAAAAGGUACUCCGGGGAUAACAGGCUGAUACCGCCCAAGAGUUCAUAUCGACGGCGGUGUUUGGCACCUCGAUGUCGGCUCAUCACAUCCUGGGGCUGAAGUAGGUCCCAAGGGUAUGGCUGUUCGCCAUUUAAAGUGGUACGCGAGCUGGGUUUAGAACGUCGUGAGACAGUUCGGUCCCUAUCUGCCGUGGGCGCUGGAGAACUGAGGGGGGCUGCUCCUAGUACGAGAGGACCGGAGUGGACGCAUCACUGGUGUUCGGGUUGUCAUGCCAAUGGCACUGCCCGGUAGCUAAAUGCGGAAGAGAUAAGUGCUGAAAGCAUCUAAGCACGAAACUUGCCCCGAGAUGAGUUCUCCCUGAGACUUAGAGUCUCCUGAAGGAACGUUGAAGACGACGACGUUGAUAGGCCGGGUGUGUAAGCGCAGCGAUGCGUUGAGCUAACCGGUACUAAUGAACCGUGAGGCUUAACCUUAC